rnacentral:tRNA from 1 species
GCCUUCGUGGUGUAGUGGUCAGCACGCUCGACGUGUAACCGAGAGGUCCGUGGUUCGAUUCCCUGCGAAGGCG